rnacentral:rRNA from 1 species
AUUGAACGCUGGCGGCAGGCCUAACACAUGCAAGUCGAGCGAGCGGCGGACGGGUGAGCAAUGUAUGGGGACUGCCUGAUCGAGGGGGAUAACUACUGGAAACGGUGGCUAAUACCGCAUACUAUCGGAUAACCAUGAGGGGAUUAUCUAGUAGUUGGGGUAAAGGCUCACCAAGGCGACGAUCCCUAGCUGGUCUGAGAGGAUGAUCAGCCACACUGGGACUGAGACACGGCCCAGACUCCUACGGAGGCAGCAGUGGGGAAUAUUGCGCAAUGGGCGCAAGCCUGAUGCAGCCAUGCCGCGUGUAUGAAGAAGGCCUUAGGGUUGUAAAGUACUUUCAGCAGGGAGGCGUUACCCGAAGAAGAAGCACCGGCUAACUCCGUGCCAGCAGCCGCGGUAAUAC